AAUAUUAAGGGAUCGCGGCAAUUAUAUUAUCCAGUUUGGGUACGAAGUCACGAGAAACCCACAAACGAAAAUUUUAAUUAUCCGUAAAUAAAUAUUAAAAUUUCGGAAAUCUGUUUCAUCUGUUGCUUCGCUACAUUGAGCAUGAGAAAGUGAUCGGUCAAACCCUACGUUGUGUCUUAAUUUUUGUAUUUUACAGGACAUCCGAUGUGGAUUUCGAAUCAAAGCACGUUUUAACAUUCAAAUUACAGAGAAACUUUUUAAUGCAUACUUAAACUUUAUUUCACAAUUAACGAACAAUGGACAUAAUAGAGCUUUUAUAACAAGACGAACUUAACAUAGUGCUUUAUUCCUUACAACUAACAGACAAACUAUAUACGAUGAGUACAAUGAUCUAUUGGAUCGUGCAGUGCUACCAGACGACAAGAAAAAUCUCGUCUAAUUUUGAGGAAACACAGUCUUGAAAUAUUUCACAAUCCAACAUACCCGCCGCCUUGAACGAUCAGUUUCAAUAAACAAUAACAAAAAACAUUUACAAUGGAUGUGCUUUUAGGCUUCGCUACAAAUUUACAAUUUAUUUAUCUAAAUUAGAGGCAUUCCGGUUGACUGGUAAGCCUAUGCGUCCGUCCUGAUCCAGAUCUACUGAUGAAUCUGGUAGAAAGCAGAUCUUGGAAGUGGGUCGAGUGAUAACUCCGCGAGCCGUGCGAAGAGAGACGACUCUGAUGAUAUGGUCCUUCCCAGGAUGAACGUCCACAAUACGUGCCAAGGACCAUCGUGUAGGCGGCUGCAAUUCAUCAACUAUGAUGACCAUUCUGCCGAUCGAAAUUCCAUCGUUCCGUAUUGAGCCUUUAGUGUCCUUCUGGAGCUCCUGAAGAUAUUCUGAACGCCAGUGACGCCAAAACCUUUGCACAUGCAUCUGAAGUUCUUGGAAGUGAUCAAGCCGGUUAGCUGGAAGAUGAUGGAGAUCUGGGUCGGGCAGGGCGGUUAUUGUAGUGCCUAUGAGGAAGUGCGCCGGAGUUAAAGCUGCUAAAUCGUUUGGGUCAUCCGUAAUCGGUAGUAGCGGUCGUGUAUUCAUAGAUGCUUCGACUUGAGUCAAAAUGGUACACAUGUCCUCGAAAGACAGCUUGGAGCAUCCUAACUGACGAUAGAGAUGUCUUUUCGCCACCUUGACCGCGGCCUCCCAGAGACCACCGAAGUGUGGUGCUUUAGGCGGUAUUAAAUGCCAUGUGAUGUCUUCUUCUGUGCAGGCAGAUGAUAUUUCGCAGCUGUCAUUUAGCAUUUCGAAUAAUUGGGAUAAUUCGUUUCUAGCUCCCUCGAAAUUCUUCCCGUUGUCCGAGUGUAUGUGCAGUGGACGACCACGACGAGAUAUGAAGGGACGGAGAGCGCAUAGAAAGGCCUGGGUUUAUAAAUCGCUGGCGAGCUCGAUGUGGACUGCCUUCGCAGCGAAACACACAAAUAUGCAAAUAUAUGCUUUAGUCGGAGCGGCACGUUUAUGUAUCGGCUUCAAAUAUACGGGCCCUGCAUAGUCGACGCCAGUUAUGCUGAAUGGACGACUCGGAGUGACUCUCGAAGUAGGCAGCUGUCCAAUUUGCUGCUGGACAGGUACGGGGUUGAGGCGAGUGCAACGAAAACAGUUUCGCACAAUAUUUCGAACUAAUCUGCGACCCUGUAGUGGCCAGAAUUCUUCACGUAUGGCGGUCAGCAGUAAACGCCCGCCGCCAUGAAGUAGUUUUUGGUGGAAGUACUCUGCAAUUGCCCGUGUAAAAGGAUGAGGAUUUGGUAGUAAGGCAGGAUGUUUGGUUUGGUAGGGAAGCUGGGACAGAUUCAAUCGACCUCCCACUCUGAGUAUUUUCUCUGGGUCUAAGAAUGGACUCAUUUUACGAAUAUGUGAAUGUUUUGAUAAUAAUUUCUCUUUUUCCAUUUUUUCCUUCUUUCUCCAUUUUGCUGUUGAGAAAUUCUUCGACUGUCAUACCACGGGACACUAGAUCCGCUGGAUUCUCGCAACCGGACACAUGAUUCCACUGAGAGUCGUGUGUGAAAUGUUGAAUCUCGGAAACUCUGUUUGCCACGAAUGUUUUCCAUACAUUCGGUGGUGAUCGUAACCAUUGCAGUGUAACUGCAGAAUCGGACCAGAAAUAUGAUCCUGAAAUGCUGAUGUCAAUUGCCUGUUUAAUUCGUGAGUGGAGAUGUGCUGCUAGAACCGCUGCGCAAAGCUCAAGACGCGCAAUAGAUAGCCGCUUCAAUGGAGACACUUUCGACUUGGAUGCUAAAAGCUGAAUCCUCACGUUUCCUCGUGCAUCUUCACAACGUGCAUGCUCCAUAGGCCUAUUCAGAGCCGUCAGCGAACGUAUGGAGUUGUAUUGACGAGUUUAUCUGGAACGCAAAUCAGUCAGCUCGAUAAGCUGCUAUCAUGGGAAAGCAACCACAGUUCUUGCAUUAGAAUUUUUUCCUUGACGACAACAGGAGCAAUGAGACCCAAAGGGUCAAAAAGUCUAGCUAUGGUGGAGAGUAUGGAGCGUUUUGGUGGAACUUCGUGGUGAUCUUGAACAACCGAAUCGAAUCGAAGGAAAUCGCCUUCGGGCUCCCAGCAUAUGCCCAAAGUCUUGAUGGUUUCGCAUGGACUGAAUUGGAGUGUAGAUUCAGUUCCUAUCUGAUCGACAUUCAAACCAUGGAGCACUUCUAGUCGAUUUGAUGUCCAUUUCCGGAGCUCGAAGCCGCCUUUCUGGAGCAAAUUAGUCAGUUCAUUCCGCAACUGGACUGCUGUCUCUAUGAAUUGGGCGCCGCCAAUAAAAUCGUCCACAUAAAAACAUUUUUGUACUGCAGGUGCGCCUAUUGGAAACGAUUCUUUCUCGUCGUCUGCCAAUUGUUGCAGAGUGCGUGUAGCAAGAUACGAGGAAGGUGCUAAACCGUAAGUCACGGUUAGGAGUUCGUAAACUUCGAUUGGAGCUUCUUGGGAAAAAACGCCAGAAAAUUCGUUGCAGCGGUGUAUCGUUCGGAUCCACAAGUACUUGCCUGUACAUUUUUGCAACGUGAUAUUCACUUUUCAGCUUUGGAUUCCGUUCUAGCCUUUUCUCGAGUAAUUGAAAUCGCCGUAGGGCAUUUGUCCUUGAGUCUUGAAAUCAGGCUUCCGUGGUAGGCGAACUAUGUAUCGCCCUUCAACGUUUCUUGUUGUAGUGGUUGCGUAUGUUGUUUCACAAUGUCUUUCCUCUAUCGAAAAAUUAUCUUUCGUUUGUAACUCCUCGGUUUUACAAAAACGCUCCAAAGAAUCUUCCAAUGAUACCAUUGCUACUUCAACAACA